GCCUGCAAUCCCAUGAGAAGACAAAGUUACAAACAAUUGGAUGGGGUUCUGCAGUCACCGAGUGUGAGAGCUCGCAAUAGAGGCUGAUAGAGGCUGAUAGAGAAGCCGAUGUGCUCCAAGGCCUGGGGUUCAUCCUGGAAGUAGUCAAAGCCCAAGAAAGAGUUCCCAUUACACAGAUAACAGCAAAAGGGAUCAGGCAACACAGCUGCUUCCCAUGCAAAACGAGCUGCACUGCUUAGGUUUUACACCUCAGGGGUUCAUCUUUGCAUAACAUAAAUCCACAUACAGGUAGAGAGGAAUAAAAUGUUUUACCACAAAUAAUAAUUUGGAAAUAUUUUCACAAACUUCAGAUUAAACUUUCAUCACCACCCACACAUUCUCUGGAUUUGCAUAACCUCAGGUAUGUCUAACAAUAUCCUCACUGUUCCCGAAGGACAGAACAAACCCCCAGGACUGCGCAUUAACAUGUUAUAAUGUUGCUGACAUAAUUCAUGCUGCUCAACUGAGAACAUCAACCUCAGAGCUUAGUGUCCCUCGACCUAUUCUACUUUUCACUCAUGACUCAUAGCAGCCUGGUCGUCCAGGGUGGCCUUACACUUAACUCUCCUGCUUUCCCAAUCAUGCUGGGAUUACAGGAAAGCAGCACAAUGCACACCUCCCCCUUCCUAAGUGGCGCUGGGGACGGAACCCAGAGCCCUAGGGAUGGCAGGCGAUACUCUACUCCUGAACACUUCACCGCAUCUCCAGCACUCCUCACGCUUACUUUUGGUAAGAAAACAAGUUGCCAUUGGAAUUGCAAAGCUGCAAGGUAGACUCCUGCAAGUAAACGGUGCAUCGGCUCUCAACUAAAGCAGGCUCUUGCUACCUAAACCUUGACUGCUUCUCCUGUCUACCAACGUGCACAGCCACCUUACCCAGUCACUUCCCUAUCAUGGGAAAGAAACCUCAGCAUUAGGUAAUGAACUACAGAGCCCAAAGAAGGGAUGGGACAACACAAGAGCAUGGCAGCUUUCCUUACAAACAGUGAAGUUACAAAGUGAGCUUAAGAACAGCACCUAGCAGCUCUAUGGCCGUUUGCUGUACUCAAGUCAGUAUUCCAGAGGAACCUCAGGAAUCGGAUGAGGAGAGACAGAGGUGGCUAACCUGGACCCUGGAAUACAGCACUUUAUCAGAACGACUCUCCUUUCUGGCUUGUGUUAAGACAACAAGGCUGACCCUCUAGCCCAGAAGCGCUGAAGCGCUCCAGUGCAAUGAUAAGUGAAGAAACGAGACACUGAAGAAAGAGAAGGCACUGUGGCGAGCAUCCUGUGGCUGUGACAGACAGACACCUUUCAGUGGUGUGCUCACUUGUGUGGUGAACACUUUGUUCAGCGUCCCUCAGUGACUCUCUUCUUUUCUCCUCACUGCUUCUAACACAGCAGUUUUCCGUGUCUCUAUUUUGGUAAUCUCUCAGACUUUCAACAAUUUAUACUUCAAAAUCCUGUAUAAAAUUUAUAUGGCUUUGCCCAUGUACCACAUAUAAGAAACCAUAGAGAUGGAACAGGGUUACUCACCAUGAAAAAGCCCUUUUUCUUUUCCCAGAGGUAGCUCUCAACAAAACUGACUAACCUUGCAUCUAGUUGGGACUUCAUCCUUCUUUUAUGAAAGAACUAACGUUCUUCUCUCCAGUCUUAUUUACAAGAACCCAGGAAAGGAAAGAAGAGAGAGAAAGAAACCUCAGCAUUAGGUAAUAGAGCCCGAAGAAGGGAUGGGACAACACAAGAGCAUGGCAGCUUUCCUUACAAACAGUGAAGUUACGAAGUGAGCUUAAGAACAGCACGUUUCUCCCACUUUGUAAUCCAAAUCAAAAUGUUUUACUUAGAUUCAGAAAUCAGGAGGAGCAAAUAGUGAUGGCCGCAAGAGUUACAUUUGGGGUAGAAGUAAGGAGCUCCCCUUGAGGAAAUACCCAGCAUGCUCUCUUGUUUCUCCUGACUGAGAUUCCUUUUCAGAUGUAGAUAGCAAGAAAAAUGGCAAAAUAUCUCUAAAGUGUAUUGGGAAACAGCAUAAUUAAACAGUAUACAUUAUUGUCAUAUUUUUAGAUCCUAGUUUUCUCAAGUCAACUACAAAAAGUAUCAUUACAAUAGGACGGAAAGGGAGGGGACAAACAAGUCUACAUCUGGAACUUACUGUGAAGGAAACAAAGAUAUUUUUUAGUUUAAGUAUUCAAGAUACCCAGAGCAGGAGCUCUGUGACUUCCUGACACCCUGACUUGUGGGCACCACUCACCCACACCAGGCACACACAGCUCUCGGAAGGCGCUGCCUUCGCCAUCCUGCCUGAAUUCUCCAGAGCUCAGUCACUUCUCCCACUUUGUAAUCCAAAUCAAAACGUUUUAUGUACAAAUUGACUUCACUAAAGCUGCACAAAAGACACCAAGGGCCACUCAAUACGGCAGAGUAAUCACAUCGGGAAGACAGCACACAACUGGACUUUAAAGGACAACUCCUCCUUGGCAUCCCUACAGAGAAGUCAAAUCCACGGCUCCAUUGAUCCACACAGAAUAACUUUCCAACAGGGCAGUUCACUGGGGAGGACAACGUGCAACUGCUGGAACCACAAGUGUUCCUGUGGGACAAGGUUGUGUUCCCUUCCACUCUGGUGACAGCUCUGAGAUGCGAGUCUGCUGCUUGGAAACUUCAACACAGUCCCACAGGGGUGUUAACAUGAUACACCAAGAUAACAGAAACCAGCAGUACACACAGGCACCCUGAUUACAAGAAAGCAUGUCCUAUCUGGAAGAAACACGCAGAAUCAGAAAACAGAUAAACUAGUUCCUACUGAGAAAUCGUGCAAAGACUGCUCAGGAGAAAAGAAGUAACCCUGACAGUGCUCAAAAAGGCAUUUACAAAUGCCAGAGAGGCAGAAAGGAAGAUGCAGGCGAGCUCAGGAAGCCAAGAGUGUCCAGUUUUGGAAUGGCUGUUGAACUCAAAUGAAGGAAGAACAAGACACAGCCCAUGAGCCCAUUAGGAUCUAAUGAAGCAGUGCAGAGUGGCACAAACACCGGGACGCUAGGAAACUGCCAAAAAGAACAGCACUUGAAGUGACCCAACUCAGCGGUAAGGACAGGUGCUGGUUAUCUGGAACAACCAGUUACACUAAACAUACCUAAAACAACUCCCCUGCCCAAAGGAAAAGAUAUCUCUGCCCCAGUCACAACCCAGGCUCACAAACCCAAGGAGGCAAAAUGCAAAGCCUCGGAUGAUCAGUUUGGACUCCAGUGUUAAUCUCAAGACUGCUAUGCUGGUCUGAAACUAAAGUUUGGUUUUGUUUCCUUAAAUAUUAAAACAAUUGUCAGCCCACCACCCUCAACCCUUGCUAAGAGACCAAAUUUGGAAUCUAAACAUACUGGUCCACUGUUUGCACACGCCUCAGUUUUCUUACACAGGUGCUUACAAAUUUACACGAAACAGUCUUCCUUUAAACAAUUCUUUCUUCCUAUAAACAGAACCAUACCUUGGGUUUGUUAAAAUUAGCAUUUAGAAAAGCUAUGAUACAAUAAUAAAAUUUCAGAGUUCAGUCAGUGAGGUAAAAUUUACAGUGGCAGUUUUAAAAUCAUUAUUUCUAGAUGUAUUUCCUUCAACUCUGUUUGCUUCUAAAACUUUGGUCACCUUCACAGGAAGACAGCGAGAUCUCAAUGGUUAGCUCACUUGAAAAGUGACUGAUGAAUCACCCAAGUGAGAUGUGUGCCUUUGAGUCAACUCACAAUGACACCAGAACAGAACAUGGCUUUAAAACCUCAUUUUCUAGGUUCAUAAGACCAGUGUUUUACAAAUUAAGAACAGUAUCCUAACAUACAUUUAGUAUGGCUCUCACUGCAAGCAAGGCCCCAUUUUCUUUGGCUGCCAAUCCCUUAGAGGAAUGUAGAUACAAAAAGCUGUUGCUUAAAGAAACAGGAAGCUGAAGCUGGUGAGAAAUAUACCAAAAAUAGAACAGGGAAACCUAGGCUACCCUCAGCAUUCAGAUGAAUAUAGCUUUCUACAAAGAAAUCAAAAUUCUAUAGGAUUGAUUAGCUUUCACAAAUUCACACAAUAUGGCCUUCCUUGUCUCAGUUUCACAAGGAGUUAACUAAGGAAAUAGAACAUCAACACAGCAAAGUGGAGCGGGGAAGUGUCUACUUCACACUGCUGGCUCCUGAGAGUCAGGCCGGAGAAGACAGCCCGCUGACACCCGCCUGCUGGGUGCCACAGAGGAAGCAGGACUAGUCAGUCCUGUUAAGGUAUGAAAGAAUACACAGUCGUGCUGAAGAGAUGAGAAAGAGAAAGAAGAACACACUUCAAACCAAACACCAUUUAAUUUUCUCAUGCACUGUUCUCUAACCUUUACUGCCAAAGGUGUGGAUAGAUUUAACAUCACUUUCUUGUGAAAGCACCAGAGAAACAUUCAGGCUUGCAUGGUGAAUCACAUACCAGGCAAAGAGUGGAUGAAGGCCCAGACGUCAUCGACCGUCCAUAUGGAGGGCUCCGUCUGUGCGACUGGGAGCAAGUCGCUGUUCUCAGGCAUUUUCCUAAUCCUCACGUCGCGAAGUUCGCGUUCUCUUUCCCGCUCACUCUGCCUGCGCAGGCGAGUCGUCAUAGCAGACGGCACAGGAUCGUCACGAGAGGCCAAGUCUUCUUCUGCAGAUGGAUAAGUAAUUGGAAGCUGGAAAAUGCAGUACAAGUAAAAUACAGCAUUGCACUUCCCUUGCAUUUCUGAAAUGGACAUUGUACAUUGAAGCAAGCUUUCUACAGACCUGCCUAAGGAUAUGUUCUCUCGCUGCCCCUUCAGGGCCACUUGGACGACGGCCCCGAUGCCCAAGACUUUGAUUAUCAGGCUUACGAUUCCAACGACUAAGUGCAAACUUUUUAGAACAGCUAACGUUGUACCUAAGAAAUUCAAGAAAGAAAAAUUAAGCAAUAUAUGGGACCGCCUAUACAUAGUAUUUACUGUAACGUUAAAGUACAACUGUGACACAGUCAGUACCAGACACUUAGUAUCUAGUGUAGCACCUCACACAGUACCAUCUUAUUUAAAGUACAACUGUGACACAGUCAGUACCAGACACUUAGUAUCUAGUGUAGCACCUCACACAGUACCAUCUUAUUUAAAGUACAACUGUAACACAGUCAGUACUAGACACUUAGUAUCUAGUGUAGCACCUCACACAGUACCAUCUUAUUUAAAGUACAACUGUGACACAGUCAGUACCAGACACUUAGUAUCUAGUGUAGCACCUCACACAGUACUCUGUCUUACUGAAUGAACUUAUCUGUGCUUUAGGUAAAAAAAUGGCCUCUGUGUACAUCAUAGAGUAUUCCUCAACAUAACACUAGACACCUAUAAGAAGGUAAUGAAAUUUUCUCCUGAUUAUACAGGAAUGAGUAACCUGUAAAAUGCAGAAGAUAAUUUGCAAAGCAGCAAGAAAGUUCAUCAUUCCAGAAGAGAUACUUUAGAGUUUUGCUUUGUCUUGUUCUUUUUAGUGUAUGUGGGAAGGAUGUGCAGAAGUGUAUUGCAGAUGUAAUAGGACAGAUGUCUGCAGAUGCAGAUACACAUGUAGAGACCAGGGUUUGGUUCUCAGCACACAAUGGAGGCUCACAACCAUCUGAACCUUCUGCCUUUCACAUCAGGCAUACACACAGUGCACAUAUAUUCUUGAAGGCAAAACACUCACACAUUAAUUUUAUUAUUGAUAACUAUUCUAGAAUAAUACAAGUGAUUUUGCUCACCUAUGUUUUAUGAACAUAUCAGAGAUUGAAAUAAAGAAUACUAUGAGAACUAAUAGACUAUUUCUCUUCUAAAAAUGCAAAUGUGCCCUCAGAGCUACUAAAAUAACUAACACUCCUGCUGUGUACACUAUGGGCUUAUCUGUGGAUUCAGCAAUGUUGUGAUUUCUAAUUAGUACAUCAGGUGACCAAACUUAACUACUGAGGAGAGAACUAGUUUUACGCAUGGUUAAUCCUUGCAUAGUUAAAUAGUUAGCUCUCUGAGACUGACAGCUAAGUAGCCAUGUAAACAGCAGCAGUAACUCACUGGUCUGACAUAGCCUCUUUCUGUUCUCUCAGCCAUGCUUCUAAGGAGGAUCAUCUCAAGUAUACUAUGUGCCUGAUCAGACAUCAUCUCUGGGAGAAGGGUAAUGAUAGGUAGUAUUAAAUGUCCUAGUAUAUGUGUAAAUAGUCAAGAGGUUUAGAAUAUCCUCAAAGACAAACUAUUUCCCAAACUUCUAAAUAUUUUUAAUCAGCGCUAGAAAACUACCAUUCUUUCGUGUGUUUUAUGCAAACUGAAAAUUCAAGUUAAAACAUAAAUCCAACAUAAUCCAAUUAUAGACCUGCCACUAUUCAUGAAUAAACAUUUGAGUAAUGGACUGAAACAGUGAGCUCACUUUUGAAAAAACUUACUUCUACUUAAGAAAGGUAAAUUCAACUAACUGUACUUCUGCAGCAACUAUACAAAAUGAUAUGUUCAAUCAAGAAAUUCACUGGCUUCUUAAGAGAAAAUAAUUUUCAAAAUAAUCACCCUAAAUACACUUGGGUCUUCCAAGGGCAUCAGGUAUCCUAACUGCUAGGCUAUCUCCAGCCCCAUAUUUAAUCCUUAUAGACUAGUAUUCACCUAGGCAUGCUGGUACCUGGCUUCACCUGGUACUCCAGCACCUGGGAGGCAGAAACAGAAGGAUCAGAGAAUGCCAGAGGCCAGCCUGGUCCACAUAAACCUAGGCCAGGCAGGGCUAUACAGCAAGAUCCCAAAUAGAAAUAAUUUUAAAAUUAAUUACUAAUUAGUAAUUAGUAAGAUUCUAUAACAUACUAGUCAUGCUACAGGACAGAUUCUCCACACCACAUCCUUGCACAGAUGACCACUGCUUCACUACAGGGUAUUCUAAAACUGCAUUGUUAUACGUACUUAUCACACAGCAAAUUCUAGUAAUGACACAGCAGUGGACUGCUGCAGAUGACACCUAACCUUCCCUGUGUCACCAGACCUCACUCUUACCUAUGCUCAACUGUAACCUGUCUUGACAGAAGCAGAAAUUACUGGUUCUCCCUAAGCAAAUCCAAGCACACCAACAUACCUUUUGGCACAUGACAUAGUACAGAAUCGUUUUGAUCGUAAAAAUUCAUUAGGAUAUCCCAUUUUUCCACAGAAUUCACACUUGAGUAACUCACUAUCCAUUUCUUCCAAUGUCUCUAAAAAAGGAGGGAAAAAGCCAAACAUUUGGUGUGUCAAAAUUUCCUGCAGCCUCUAAUUCUAGAUAUGUAACACAGAUCAAUAUUUUUUCACCUUUUUUGAAUCCAGAGCUACUUGGCUAGGCUAUUACUAAUUCCUUGUUUCUACAUAAACAUUUUGGUUUUUUCUAUAUAGUAAGUAUACUUAUACACAUAAGUAAAAAUUAGUUUUGCUAAGAGCCCAGCAUGUCUAAAAUGUACAUACAACAGGUUGUGAUUUAUAAUCACAGAGAAAUGAAGGUAAGUGCGGUAUACCCACUGCCCACUAGAAGGGGCAUUGCAGACAGCAGAACACAGGAUAUGAGUGUGGCUCUCUAAAGCGUGGAAACCCUCUAAAUCCCAAUGGAGAGGAGAAUGGCUUCAAAGUGGAGAAACAUGUUUAUUUUAGUGGGACACAUAAAACAUUUAACUAAGGGACCUGCAAUGUAUAACCAAUAUCAUAAAGAUAUGUAUAACUAAUUUAUAAAAGUUCCUUUUAAUAUUAAAUGAAAUUAGUUCUGCUUUUAAAUCUCAAACAGACUCAUAAAGUACAACUACUGGUGUCUUUUCUACAGUGUUCCCUGCUAAGUAAGAUCUAACCCCAAUCCAAACCCUCUCCUUCACUCUUUAUCUCCUGCUUCAGGAACACCACCUAGAGCAAGCAGUUCCCUCUGCGUGAUCGUCCCCAAAGCACUGAAGUAAGUGGAGAAAUAGCUGGCUCGGUAGGGCUCCACGUGCAUCACCUUUACUGAUGACAUCAAUCACAGGGCAGGAAGUGACCUUGCUGGUUUGUAUUUUGUAUGUAGUGUAGGGAAUCAGACUUAGGGCUUUUCACAUCCUAGGCAAAUGGUCUACAUCUUCAGCCCAGGAGUGGCCAUUUAAGGAGACUCUCUACCUUGGUAUGUUUGCAAGUAAGUAUGUAAGCAGGUAUGUAUGUAAGCAGGUAUGUAUGUAAGCAGGUAUGUAUGUAGACUCAACUACCUCGGUAUAUAUGCAAGGACCAUUGAUCUAGUUACAAUGUGGAUACAACUGUAAGAAGUAAAAUAAAAACUGUCCCUGUCCCUGUCUCUGUCACAGGGUCCCAGUCAUGCAGCUACUGUCUGCAGAUAGUUUCUGGAGAAGGAGAGUCAUGUUUUCCUCAGGUUUGUGACCCCUGGUAGUUUGCACGUGUUCCAGUUGACCCCAAACCCAUGUGCAUACUGGUAGCACUAACUGAACUCAGUGGAGGCGGGGCACAAAGUUGGGGGAAGGAAAUGAUGGAGAAAUUAUCUGGGAAAAGCUGAAGGGAACACACAGAGUGCAUUUAAUCAAAACUCAUAAUAUACAUGUAUGAUAUUUUCAAAGAACAAAGUUAAAUGUAGUUUUUAUAAAAAUUGGAAAAUUUUGCCCCUUCCAAAAACCAAAAGAUGGCUUCAACAAAGUUGCUUGUCAUUCCUAAUUUUCACAUCUGCCCUUGGAAUUUGCUGUUCAUGCCCAGGAGUUAUCACUUACACCUGAACUGAUCUGGAAAGCCUGGACCAGAGACAGAACUCACUCAACUGCUACCAUUGAUGGAAUGACCAAGAGACCAUUCUGCAAGUUGCUCAAAGAAACUUCCCAGAGUCAUUUGAGAAGAAGGAAUUCAAAUGAGGAACUGCCUCCAUCAGAUUGGCCCUUGUGCAUGUCUGUAGGACAUUUUUUUUCGUUUAACAUUGCAUUUUCUGUAGGACAUUUUUAAAUUAAAGAUUGAUAUGGGAGGGCCCAGCUCACUAUGGGCAGUGCCACACUGCUCCUGGGUUUUAUAUAAGAAAGCAAGCUGGGCAAGCUAUGCAGACGGAGUAAGCAGUGUUCAUUCAUGGCCUCUGCUUCAGUGCCUGCCUCAGAACUUCCUGUGAUAAAGGGCCGAUAACAUCUGUAAGGCAACUAAACCAGCCAAGCUGGUUUUGGUCAGUGUUUUAUCACAGUAACAGAAAAGCAAAGGACAACAAUCCUUUACAAAGAGAUUUAUAUGUAACAUGAAUUUUAAUAGUUUGCCUACCCAAAGCUACUAAGUAGCUUACCAUUUUACUCUGCAUUAUACUGUAUGAACAAUGGUGUAUGCUGUAAUAAAAAUGCUGAAAUUAUAAAAUGGCCUUAGAAAGUCAAAACUAUCAAGUACUUAAAAUGUUAGCAUUUUCUGUAAUAUUUCUUCUGCUAUGAAAUAUACUAACCAUCUUUAUCUUCCUGCCCCUCCUGUGGCAUCCCGUCCUGCUGAACUGUUCACUGUUCUGAUCUCUCCUUCCUCAUCACACUCUGACUACAGAUGUCAACUAUAUGACAAACCUCUAAAUACAUCCCACAGAGAGAUGACCAGCAAAAUUCCAAAGCCCUUUCAGUUUCUGACAAUUGCCAAAAGCCUUCUGUAAAGUUCCCUCAAGUCACAGAUCUUCCUUCCAGGUGCUGCAGGCGCCGAGCCCAGCGGUCUCCCAUGGUUCCUCACUCACACCCCUACACUCCUCAGCACUCAGACACAUCCUUGCACACUUUCCUGUCCUAAUCAGAACUGGUUUCCUGUUACCUUAAGUCUAUGCCUGCCUCAUUGUUUCUUUUAUAAAAUGUAGUUCCAACCUCAGCAAUGUAAGAAAUGCACCAGGCUGUAACUUCAGCCAGCCCCGUGUCCUUACUGUCGGGACAUUCACUGAAAAGCUAACGCUUGCUGCUCUGUAACCCCAGCUUCCAAGUAUAUGUUAUACACUGUCCACUGUAAACCACGACUAUCAUGAAACAUGCUAAAAACUUCCCAGACUUCCAUUCCUCUGGUGUGUUCGCCAGAGGUAUGAUAAACAUGUUUUAGCAUAGAACCUUCAUUUACAUAGGUUUUACAAAUAAGAGGAAGAAAAAGGAAUACCUAAACAUUCUUCUUUAUUGAUUUUCAUCUCAGAUAAGUAUCCUCACAUAUAAUCACAUGUACAACUAAAAACAUGUAUCUGAGAAUUACAUGAAAUUUAAGUCUAACAAUGAAAACCACCAUAGUGACAGCUGCCUAAUCGAGUACUCAGGAUUCAGGUGACUUCACCAGAACUUUCUCCCCAUUUAAUUUGUAAAAUAUAGGUGAGAGCAGGUACAGGAUAGGAGGCCUAUCAUUGGCCGAGAAGGAAGGAUGGGCGGGAGUAAAGUUUGAAGAAGAGGAAGAGACUAAAAUGGAAGGAGGGAGAGGAGGGACAGAGAGAGAAGCUGUAGCAGGACAAUGUAGAAGCUGACGUUAGGAUUCCACGCUGUACUCUUACAGGUUGUUAUGAACGUUCUUAAGGGAUGGAUGUGUACAGGGCUUUGUAUGUUUAGGUGGGCAAUUAUAUCUUAUCAGCUAGAUCAAAGGUUAUUGUGUUGUGUGUUCUUUCCUGUGGCGAUUUAAGUUUAAGAGAGUGUGCGGCAGCUAGUCUGGGCCGCCACGGAAUUGGGAUGUGUGUUUCUGGCAUGGAAACCAGCCUUGGGAACUAGCUGGGUAGAGAGAUUGCUGCCAGGCUCAGAGAGAGGCCUUCAGCAGUGUGAUAUGGGAUGGAGCAAAGCGGGUGAGAGGCUUUGCUGACUGACUUUGCUUUGAGGCACUGCGGUGUGGACCUAGAGAGGGUAAAAACACUGUUUUAUUUUUUAUAUUUUUACAACAACACAUAGUGACCUAGUUUGGAUCUUGAUUUUAAUCAAAUAACUGUGAAAGAGCAUGCCUCUAGUAACUGAGGAAAUAUGAAUAUGGAUCAGGUACUAUACCAAAGAAUUUAUUUUGCUAUUUAAUUUUGUUAGAAAAUACCUGCUUUUACGAUGUCCCACUGUCUUGGUGAAAUAAAAUGGCUAGAAUUCAGAGAGGACAGAGGAGGAGGAUAAGAAGACAGUCAGAGGACAGAGGAGAAGGAUGAAAAGACAGAAGACAGAGGAGGAGGAUGAGAAGACAGUCUAUAAAAGGGAGGGUGAGAGGGAGGAAAGCAAAGGAUGCAUGAGGUGAGUGUGGCCCUGCUCAGUUGCUUGAAAUAAUAACCAAAAGUUAGUAAAAAUCAAAUGUUACAGUAUUGCAGGUUUGGCUGUUCGAAUAAGAGUAAAAGUGAUGAAUACUCCGUAAAAGUUUAUCAAAUACCAACUAUGCAGGUGCCACCCUUUAGGAGUCAAAGGGAAUUUGGCUAUGUGCUUACCAAUUUGCCAUUUUGCUAAACUUAACAAUGUAUAUAGAGAGACACACAAUAUAGUAACACAAACUCAAUAAAUAUUUGUAAAAGAAUAAAUUAACUUAGAUAUACUAAGGAUAAUUAUGAAGAGAAAUGUGUUAAUGAGUUUACUGUUGUAGGCAGCAGCAACUGCAGGCCAUGAUCGAAGUGACCAAGAACAAUCUCAUGAAGAUCCUCCUACAUGAGACAGCUAGUUUGUUUUGUUGGCUAAUUUUUAAACCACAUUCAGAGCCUCAUUAAAAACAAGAAACAAUACAAAAAUUUUCUGAUUUUAUUUACUUUACAUAUUUGAGUAGUACACUGUAGCUGUCUUCAGACACACCAGCAGAGAGUGUCAGGUCCCAUUACAGAUGGUUGUGAGCCAGUAUGUGGAAUUGAACCCAGGACCUCUGGGAGAGUGGUCAGUGCUCUUAACCACGGAGCCAUCUCUCCAAUUUUUUGAUUUUAAAUAGAAAACUCAAACCAGAGAACAUCAUUUUUCUAUGUACCUGUAUUUGCUUUCCUUCAGCCAUUUUAUCACUUCAACUUAAAUGGGAUAUUCAGUAUUAGAAUAUAGUCAGUUGAGGUCUUUGACAGUAAAGAGAUUAACAGUAACAGUACUUUUCUCUUAAAACAGAUAUUAUCAUCUAUUAACUGAAGAGAACUCCUUAAUGUAACUGGAAUAUUUAGCUGGUUACAAUAAAGACAACACUGUUGCAGGAUUUGAUCACAUUGUAAACCCUGAGAUUGUGAACUGGAAAAACCUGUUUCUUGUUGUGGUGUGGCUCAGACCUUUAAUCCAAGAACUUCCUGUAAACAAGAAGUAAAUAAACUUCCUGUAAAUAAAGUCAAGAGGUAAAGCAAGCAACCAGUUGAUAAGAGAAUGAACAUAAGAAAGCUCAGGAAAGAGAAAAAACGGGUCUUUGAGUUGAAGGGCAUUUAAAACAGCAUGGAGGAGGGGGAUGAACAAGAGGAGGAGGAGGGUGACAGAGAGGAGGAGUUGUUUCCUUCUGAGACAUUAGUGGAGAAGAAAGGUCAGGUGGGUGCUUUCUCUGCCUCUCUCAGCUAGUGGUCUAUCACCGCGGCAUUUGGCUCCUGAGACUUCAUUUAGUAAACCAAACAUUUGGGAUCUUGUUUUAAAAACAACAUUUUGGCAUUCAAUGUGUAGCUUGAACCCAUCACCCUGAGAUUAAAAGUCUAUGCUCUACACAACCCACACAUGCUUGUUUUGAAGAAAAACCCAAAACCUCUAUCUCAUAUCAGACAUCAAAAUAAGGGCAAGUUUAAAACCAAAUUAUAGAGAUGUCCUAUAUUUUUAAGCAAAAUCAAUAAAAUAUUCAUGUUACUUAGGUCUGCUUUUUAAUUGGUUCUCCUGACUCAAAAAAUGUUAAAAUACUUUCUCUCGUGUAUGAUAGAACUUGCCUUGCCUAGAAAUCAAAUCAAGACCAAUGCUGUUAGGGUUUUUUUUAUUGUUGUUGUUUAAUAUAAGACUGGUUUGCUUGUCCAUUACUCUAGUCAAAUACAUACAGUGAGUAUGUAAACAGAUCUGAAUUCUUUCCAAGUGAAAAUCUAUGGAGACUAAGAAGUCACACCCCAUUUAAGCAGUAAAAGCCGAGGUUGAAUAAAGGGUUUAUGAGAGCCACAGACCUUCAGCAAUCAUGUCCUCCAUCUCUGUGUCGGACGAGUUAUCUGCAUGCUUUGUGUUAUUCUGUAGCUCUGGCUGAACACACACCGAAUUUACCACCUGAUUAUCCAAAAGAGGCCUCUUUUUCACAGGUUGUUCUAUCAGCAAAGAUGAACGACUCACCUUUAAAUGGAAAAGAGAAUAAAAAAUGAUAUCUAAAAAUAAUUCCAAAAUAAAUAAAUUUAAUUUUAAAAUAACCCCUCUUGAGUGAAUGGUAUCAGUGAUUAUUUACUUACUCAGUGAUCAGAUCCAAUCAUUAAAGGGUCCAAUUAUCCCCUAAGUAACAGGUAGUCUACACAUAUACACUACUGCUAGCCAGUAGAACAUAUGCUGCAGGGAUCUGUCAAACAGAUUGUACUGUUGCUUUAGGUAUAGAGCUUUAAAAAGUCUUACAAUCUAAUGGCACUUUGAAUUUUAAUAGUAAAAGAGAAGUGAUCAGAUUGCCUUGUACCAAGGGAAAGCAAAGGUCCUAACUCUCAGUGUAUUUGGGAGUUGAAGGGGAAGCAGUUGCUGUUUGAAUUGAUAUCAUAGUUCUAGGGAUUGAAUCCAAGGUCUUGCACUGAGCUAUACCCUCAUCUGUUGCCUUGGAAUGUUUUUAAGAUCACAUCUCACUGUGUAGAUCCUCUUUCCUCAGCCUCUGUCUAAUGUUGGGUUUAUACUCCUAUGUGACAUCCAUGCCCAGACUAGUGUUUACUGAUACUAUUCAGGUCAGCAUCUACCCCUUUUUCCUAGUGCCUUGAACACACAGACUAGCUCUCUAAUUCAUAGCUGUAUCCACAGACAUUUUGUAAUCUGGUGGUGAAAAUCAGGGAACAGUCAUGAGUGUGUUCAUACUUGCAUAGGGGACACUUUACCUACAAGCUGAACCUUCUCCCCAGUUUACAUUGCCCCCAGAUUUUUUUUCCUAUAUUUUUCUUAUAUUAAUUUAUUUUGAGAGAUAAUCUUGCUAAGUUGUCCAGACUGGCCUUGAACUUGAAAUCCAACAUCAAAAACCAAAGUAACUAAGGUUACAGGCCUAUGCCAUCAGGCCCGACUUAAAACUUUAAAAUUACUAUUAUUCUGAUGAUGAUGAUGAUGAUGAUGAUGAUGAUGAUGAUAGUGGUGGGGGGCAGUGGAUGAUGCAUGCAUGUGAUAUGUGAAGGGGAAAGCAUGUACCACAGCACACAUGUGGACAGCAGGAACAACUUUACAGAAUUAAGCAUGCUGUUUCUACCUUUGUGAGUUCCAUAGACCCACCCUAGGUUGCAAAGUCAGCAUGGGAAUGGCCUUUACCUGCUGUGCCAUCUUGCUGGUGGCUUUUAGAAGUAGAGAAACACUAAAGAGACCAGACCAGAAAACAAAUUCCCUUUGGCACAUAAAAAAAGCAAAACACUAAAUGUACAGAACAACUAGAGAAUAUUAAAAGCCACAAGGGAAAAAGACCAAGUAACAUAAGAAGGCAGACAUAUUAGAAUAACACUUGACUUCCCAAUGGAGACUCUGAAAGUCAGAAGGCUCUGGGCAGAGAGGCUGCAGACUCUAUACAGAAAGCAAAGACUCCAACACGGCCUCCUAUACCCAGCAAAGCUUUCAAUCACAAUCGGUAGAGAAAUGACAACCCAUUAUAAAACCGAAUUUAAGCAAUGUCUAUCUACAAAUCCAGCCCUGCCAAAGGUGCUAGGAGAACUCCAAUCUAAAAUGGUUAAGCCACACCCAAGAAAAUACAAGGAAUAGUUUAUCCCAGACCAGCAAAUCAAAAGAGAAGAAACACACACACACACACACACACACACACACACACACACGAAUCAACAAACACUGUUCAUUAAUAUCUCUCAACAUCAAAGGUCUCAAAUUUCAUAAUACAAAGACACAGACAAAACAGAAUCAAAAACAGGCUCCACCCUUCCGCUGCUGCACCCAGGAAACACCCCUUCACUUCAGCAAUAGACAUCAAUCACCUAAGGGUAAACGAUGGAAAAUACAUUCCAACAAACAGACCUAGAAAGUAGCUGGUGUCGUAGGCAUUUUAAUAUCUUACAAAAUAGACUUCAAACCAAAACUAGUCAGAAGAAAUAGCAAAAGACACUAUAUAAACAAAAGAAAACUCUACAAGAGGACGUUGCAAUUCUUAACAUCUAUGCAUGAAAAAUGAGGGCAACUAAGUUUAUAAAAGAAAGCCUAUUACGGCUUAAAUCUAGUAUGGAUUGUCAAACACUGAAGUAGGAGACUCAAUACUGCAUUCCAAUGAGUGGACAGGCCAUCCAGACAAAAUCCAAAUGAGAGAAAUGCUGGAGCUAACCGACAUUAUAUACCUAAGGGACCUGACAGAUAUUUAUAGAACAUUCCAUCUAAACACAAAAAGACUAUACCUUCUUCUUAGCACUUUAGGGAGCUUUCUCUAAAACUAGAUUCAGUCAGACAUAAAGCAAGUCUCAACAGAUAUAAGAAAAUUAAAAAAAAAAACCUCCCUGCAUCCUAUCUGACCACCACAGGAUAAAAAUUGUCUACAUUAAAAAACAAACAGCAAACAUUUUUUUUAAAAAGGAGAAAUCUGAUAAUAGUAACUUAACAGCACAAAUGAAAGCUCUAGAAAAAAAAAAGAAGUCACAUCCAAAAGGAAUGAAUACAGAAAAAAAAAAUUAAACUCACAAGCAACCAAACAAAAAUACCAAAAAAAAAAAAAAAACCCUCAGUGAAACAAA